AUUGAACGCUGGCGGCAUGCCUUACACAUGCAAGUCGAACGGCAGCAUGGAGAGCUUGCUCUCUGAUGGCGAGUGGCGAACGGGUGAGUAAUGCAUCGGAACGUACCGUGUAAUGGGGGAUAACGUAGCGAAAGUUACGCUAAUACCGCAUACGACCUGAGGGUGAAAGCAGGGGAUCGCAAGACCUUGCGUUAUACGAGCGGCCGAUGUCAGAUUAGCUAGUUGGUGAGGUAAAGGCUCACCAAGGCGACGAUCUGUAGCGGGUCUGAGAGGAUGAUCCGCCAUACUGGGACUGAGACACGGCCCAGACUCCUACGGGAGGCAGCAGUGGGGAAUUUUGGACAAUGGGGGCAACCCUGAUCCAGCCAUGCCGCGUGAGUGAAGAAGGCCUUCGGGUUGUAAAGCUCUUCCGGCCGGGAAGAAAUCGCACAGGCUAAUACUCUGUGUGGAUGACGGUACCGGCAUAAGAAGCACCGGCUAACUACGUGCCAGCAGCCGCCGUAA
rnacentral:rRNA from 1 species